UUUAUGCAGCCGUUCGACGUCUGCUAGUUUAUUGAGGCACUGUAACGAUUUCAGCUGCUUUGAGUUUUUUUCUUCCUUGUCCCAAACUGCACUUGGCUUCACAAUGCUGUCUUCGUAUUGGAUAUUGUUUUCCAUGGCCAUAGCCGUACCAAUCCAGUGUCAGGGACAGUGUCCUGACAAAUACCAGCGCCUCGAGAUGAGGAUACAGGAGGUCGAAGCACAGCUAACGGCGCACAAAGAAAUGAACUCCAUUACAGCUAGUCGGUGCACUGCGGGAAUGGUGGGAAUCCAGUAUCAGAGUUUUCACAACCGUUGGAUGUUCAGGACAAAUGGUUUGAUUGCUACAAUUGCGUUCACCAAGAAGCAUAAUACCACCCUCCUGAAAUUGACGCACUCCUUUAACAUUGCAGUUUACGAGUCGUCGAGGUAUUCUAGGUGGUAUUUCCAGAUAGACGGAAAGGAAUGCGUUGUUCCCAGCCAAAUCGAUAUCGUAAGUUAUCACACCAACACUGGCUACCGCUAUUCACCGGCCGUACUAACUGGUAUCUGUGAAUCGACGGAUGUCAGUGGAGCGUUGCUCCCUGCGGGCAGUCACUCCAUCAGUGUAUUUAUAGGUCCUGUACUGCUGUUUACCGCUCCAACACCUCACAAUGUAUAUACCGGAUUAUAUUCCACCUCAUUCCUGGAAGUUCAGGAGAUAUGCCCCCCAUUUUGAUCCCCUGACGUGCCACUCGUAGCAUACGUUAAUGUAUUGUUAUCUUCUGCCACGAACAUGGCAAAAUACUCAAUGGAAAAUAUAUUCAUCCAGCCGUUGCUUAACUUUAGUAAAUCUGCGAAUCAUGCACUCACACCUACCUUUUGAAAGUGUGAAAUUUGUAGCUUGUUUUACUUCACACUCAUAAGUGAGGUGGAACACAAUUGUAUUUCAUGUCUAGAUUUUAAGCUUGCGCGAUCAUCAUACAAAAAACGUUCAUUUUUACUUGUUUGGAUGUCUCUGUUAACCAGUGUGGGGCUAGUCCUUUCAAAUCCCAACAUCAUCUUUUUGCAUCACUAGCCCUGAUCCUAUAGGCUAUAGAUAGGACUGUAUUCGCCUGCAUUAUUAUUGGGACAGGCUCGCGUUUACAGCACGAAUUGAAUAAUAGCAACACCAACAAUUAGAACAGAAACAAACUGUGACGGAUUCUUGCACACCUGAAGAGCCGUCUUUAUCUACUACACUAUAGUAUACGACGAGACGAUCGUCGUGUAAAACUGCUGCUUGUCACCGCUGCUUAUUGUCCAUAUAAACUGUCAUAGUCGAAGUACAGUACUGUUUUACUGAGGCGUUAGGCUUUGCAUGAUCCUCGCUCGCAUAGCUUCCCCUUAUAUUGAUCUUCGCAUCUUUGAGCCAAACAAGGGGCGUGGAACGUUGCUUUGCGUCCUUGAAUCGUGG